rnacentral:rRNA from 1 species
GGGCCCGCACAAGCGGUGGAGCAUGUGGUUUAAUUCGAUGAUACGCGAGGAACCUUACCAGGGCUUAAAUGUAGUGAGACAGGUCUAGAGAUAGACUUUUCUUCGGACUCAUUACAAGGUGCUGCAUGGUUGUCGUCAGCUCGUGCCGUGAGGUGUCAGGUUAAGUCCUAUAACGAGCGCAACCCCUAUCGUUAGUUGCCAGCGGGUAAUGCCGGGAACUCUAGCGAAACUGCCGGUGCAAACCGAGAGGAAGGUGGGGAUGACGUCAAAUCAUCACGGCCCUUACGUCCUGGGCUACACACGUGCUACAAUGGCCGGUACAGAGAGCAGCCACUACGCGAGUAGGAGCGAAUCUACAAAACCGGUCUCAGUUCGGAUCGCAGUCUGCAACUCGACUGCGUGAAGCUGGAAUCGCUAGUAAUCG